AUGUCUACCUCCAGCCAAGUUCCAUCCAAUGCCCUUACUAGCACCACAUCCGAGCCUCUCACAAGAACCAACUACAUCCUAUGGAGAACCCAAGCUCGCUCCCAGAUCAUGGGUGUCGGGCUAUAUGGGUACAUAGAUCAAACCACACCCGAGCCAAACAACACCAUAGUCACCAAGACCUCAGAAGGAAAGGAGCAAAUCAUUCCUAACCCUGAAUACAAACCAUGGCUGAUUCAAGAUCAGCAGAUUAUAGCCUUCCUCCUUCGCAAUCUCUCGAAGGAGGUCCUGAUCCAAGUCGCCUCUCUAGAAACCUCGCAUGCCAUAUGGUCAGCCCUAGCAAACAUGUUCGCUGCCCAAUCCCGUUCUCGUGUGAACAACUGCCGCAUCUCCCUCACCAAUGCACAAAAAGGCUCCUUGAGCGCAUCCGCAUACUUUGGGCAGAUGAGAGCACUCUCAAACGAGAUCUUCUUUCUUUCAUCAUUACAGGGCUCGACAUGGACUACCAACACCUGA
rnacentral:rRNA from 1 species